rnacentral:rRNA from 1 species
UUAACUGACCCUUCGGGUGACGUUAACGGCGUCGAGCGGCGGACGGGUGAGUAAUGCCUGGGAAAUUGCCCUGAUGUGGGGGAUAACCAUUGGAAACGAUGGCUAAUACCGCAUAAURCCUUCGGSYCAAAGAGGGGGACCUUCGGGCCUCUCGCGUCAGGAUAUGCCCAGGUGGGAUUAGCUAGUUGGUGAGGUAAUGGCUCACCAAGGCGACGAUCCCUAGCUGGUCUGAGAGGAUGAUCAGCCACACUGGAACUGAGACACGGUCCAGACUCCUACGGGAGGCAGCAGUGGGGAAUAUUGCACAAUGGGCGCAAGCCUGAUGCAGCCAUGCCGCGUGUGUGAAGAAGGCCUUCGGGUUGUAAAGCACUUUCAGCAGUGAGGAAGGCGGGUACGUUAAUAGCGUGCUCGUUUGACGUUAGCUGCAGAAGAAGCACCGGCUAACUCCGUGCCAGCAGCCGCGGUAAUACGGAGGGUGCGAGCGUUAAUCGGAAUUACUGGGCGUAAAGCGCAUGCAGGUGGUUCGUUAAGUCAGAUGUGAAAGCCCGGGGCUCAACCUCGGAACUGCAUUUGAAACUGGCGGACUAGAGUACUGUAGAGGGGGGUAGAAUUUCAGGUGUAGCGGUGAAAUGCGUAGAGAU